UAGGGAAUCUUCCACAAUGGACGAAAGUCUGAUGGAGCAACGCCGCGUGAGUGAAGAAGGUUUUCGGAUCGUAAAGCUCUGUUGUUGGUGAAGAAGGAUAGAGGCAGUAACUGGUCUUUAUUUGACGGUAAUCAACCAGAAAGUCACGGCUAACUACGUGCCAGCAGCCGCGGUAAUACGUAGGUGGCAAGCGUUGUCCGGAUUUAUUGGGCGUAAAGCGAGCGCAGGCGGAAUGAUAGGUCUGAUGUGAAAGCCCACGGCUCAACCGUGGAACUGCAUCGGAAACUGUCAUUCUUGAGUGCAGAAGAGGAGAGUGGAACUCCAUGUGUAGCGGUGGAAUGCGUAGAUAUAUGGAAGAACACCAGUGGCGAAGGCGGCUCUCUGGUCUGCAAACUGACGCUGAGGCUCGAAAGCAUGGGUAGCGAACAGGAUUAGAUACCCUGGUAGUCCAUGCCGUAAACGAUGAGCGCUAGGUGUUGGGGACUUUCCGGUGCCUCAGUGCCGCAGCAAACGCAUUAAGCGCUCCGCCU
rnacentral:rRNA from 1 species